GUGCUUGCACUAAAUGAAACUACCAUACAAGCGAGCGGCGGACGGGUGAGUAACACGUGGGUAACCUGCCCAAGAGACUGGGAUAACACCUGGAAACAGAUGCUAAUACCGGAUAACAACACUAGACGCAUGUCUAGAGUUUGAAAGAUGGUUCUGCUAUCACUCUUGGAUGGACCUGCGGUGCAUUAGCUAGUUGGUAAGGUAACGGCUUACCAAGGCAAUGAUGCAUAGCCGAGUUGAGAGACCGAUCGGCCACAUUGGGACUGAGACACGGCCCAAACUCCUACGGGAGGCAGCAGUAGGGAAUCUUCCACAAUGGACGAAAGUCUGAUGGAGCAACGCCGCGUGAGUGAAGAAGGGUUUCGGCUCGUAAAGCUCUGUUGGUAGUGAAGAAAGAUAGAGGUAGUAACUGGCCUUUAUUUGACGGUAAUUACUUAGAAAGUCACGGCUAACUACGUGCCAGCAGCCGCGGUAAUACGUAGGUGGCAAGCGUUGUCCGGAUUUAUUGGGCGUAAAGCGAGUGCAGGCGGUUCAAUAAGUCUGAUGUGAAAGCCUUCGGCUCAACCGGAGAAUUGCAUCAGAAACUGUUGAACUUGAGUGCAGAAGAGGAGAGUGGAACUCCAUGUGUAGCGGUGGAAUGCGUAGAUAUAUGGAAGAACACCAGUGGCGAAGGCGGCUCUCUGGUCUGCAACUGACGCUGAGGCUCGAAAGCAUGGGUAGCGAACAGGAUUAGAUACCCUGGUAGUCCAUGCCGUAAACGAUGAGUGCUAAGUGUUGGGAGGUUUC
rnacentral:rRNA from 1 species